rnacentral:lncRNA from 1 species
GUUCAGAUACGUUUUGAAAAACUUUGGUGACUAUGAAGCUUUUUGAGGUGCAGAACCGCAAAGACGCAUCAGAUGUUUAGCUAUGGAUGAAGAUAUUCACACGGUGCGAUUGAGCCCAUCGUUUGACAUAAGAUAGAACUUUGAGUUAAAUUUCCAAUGCUACCAGUUUGAGGUCAAUCAGCAUCCUACAACAGAAGUUAUGCCUGAUUUACUGGAGUGGUAUACAUGCCUCGCAAGAGGAAGAUGUCGAAGAUAUGGAGGAGUGUCGAUCGAC